rnacentral:tRNA from 1 species
ACCUGGCUGGCUCAGUCAGUAGAGCAUGCAACUUUUGAUCUCAGGGUUGUGAGUUUGAGUCCCAUGUUGGGUG